UGGCUGCAGCUGGUCGCGGUUAGCCGACGUGCUAACAGAGUUAGCAGCCCGGUGUGUGGACGGACACGUCUACAGUCAGCCCGCUGCCGGACGCUCUGCUACCGCUGGAAAUGCUCGCUGCCAUUCAGGACCUCACUGGCCUGUGCACACCCACACUUUAAGCUCCACUGGCCUGGCCA